AGCAGCCGCCACGGUAAUACGUAGGUGGCAAGCGUUGUCCGGAAUUAUUGGGCGUAAAGGGCUCGCAGGCGGUUUCUUAAGUCUGAUGUGAAAGCCCCCGGCUCAACCGGGGAGGGUCAUUGGAAACUGGGAAACUUGAGUGCAGAAGAGGAGAGUGGAAUUCCACGUGUAGCGGUGAAAUGCGUAGAGAUGUGGAGGAACACCAGUGGCGAAGGCGACUCUCUGGUCUGUAACUGACGCUGAGGAGCGAAAGCGUGGGGAGCAAACAGGAUUAGAGACCCCGGUAGUCCCUGUCUCUUAUAC
rnacentral:rRNA from 1 species